AGCCAGAUCCCAGAUGAAGAUUUCCCCUCAAUAAUGCCAAUGCGGAAAGGUGUCAAUAGAUUUGUUGUGAGCAAAAGGAAAACCCCUUUGGAGAGGAGGUUGACAUCUACUCAGUAUAGAAGAAAUCUUCCGAUUGUGAACUCUGAUCCAGUGAAGGAGCGUGACAGUAGCUGAUGCAUUAUAGAAGAUUUUACUGAGUUAUUUGAAUCUAAAAUAUGCAUUAUGGAAGAUUAUACCGAGUUAUUUGAAUCUGACAUGGACAUUUAU
rnacentral:misc_RNA from 1 species